UGGGGAAUAUUGGACAAUGGGCGCAAGCCUGCUCCAGCCAUGCCGCGUGAGUGAUGAAGGCCCUAGGUUUGUAAAGCUCUUUCCCCGGUGAAGAUAAUGACGGUAACCGGAGAAGAAGCCCCGGCUAACUUCGUGCCAGCAGCCGCGGUAAUACGAAGGGGGCUAGCGUUGUUCGGAUUUACUGGGCGUAAAGCGCACGUAGGCGGACUAUUAAGUCAGGGGUGAAAUCCCGGGGCUCAACCCCGGAACUGCCUUUGAUACUGGUAGUCUUGAGUUCGAGAGAGGUGAGUGGAAUUCCGAGUGUAGAGGUGAAAUUCGUAGAUAGUCGGAGGAACACCAGUGGCGAAGGCGGCUCACUGGCUCGAUACUGACGCUGAGGUGCGAAAGCGUGGGGAGCAAAAAGG
rnacentral:rRNA from 1 species